rnacentral:rRNA from 1 species
CCUACGGGAGGCAGCAGUCGGGAAUAUUGCGCAAUGGAGGAAACUCUGACGCAGUGACGCCGCGUGCAGGAAGAAGGUUUUCGGAUUGUAAACUGCUUUAGACAGGGAAGAAAAAAGCCAUUACCUGUAGAAUAAGCUCCGGCUAACUACGUGCCAGCAGCGGCGGUAAUCCGUAGGGGGCAAGCGUUAUCCGGAUUUCUUGGGUGUAAAGGGUGCGUAGACGGAGGAGCAAGUUAGUUGUGAAAUCCCGCGGCUUAACGGAGGAACUGCAACUAAAACUACUACCCUGGAGUACUGGAGGGGAAAGUGGAAUUCCUAGUGUAGCGGUGAAAUGCGUAGAUAUUAGGAGGAACACCAGUGGCGAAGGCGACUUGCUGGACAGUAACUGACGUUGAGGCACGAAAGUGUGGGGAGCAAACAGGAUUAGAUACCCGAGUAGUC